GCCUCCGUGGUACAGUGGUCGUAGCAGGCGUCGCUGGUAUGAAUGAAACCCGGGUUCGACUCCCGACUGAGGCG